UGAAAAGCAGUGGCCUGUUGCCUCUGUGAACAGGCCUCUCGUUACCUUCAGGGAUAUAUGAAUCCAAAGUUAUUGGGUGAACCUCUGUUCUUUCUCUAUGACUCAAGGUUCAGUAAACCGUGGGACAUUU